rnacentral:lncRNA from 1 species
UUUAUGAAGAUUCUGCAGACGAUUGAGCUCAAGGACAAGAGGGUCAGGUUGAGAAAGGGAGAGCUGUUGUCCUCCUGAAAGAAGCUGUUCCUCAUAACCCACCAUGAUUUUUGAGGUUUUCUUUGUACAGAAAGAACGUUUUUGAGGUUGUUGAAACUUGGCAAAGUGAAGAAUGACUGAAAACGCACUCACAAAACACAAAUAAAGAAGCAAAAGCAAUGCGGGCUUUAUAAUAUUAUUAUGAGGGAAACAAACAAGAGGGCUUUGGGAGAGAGAAGAUGCAGACGAAAGAGUCUAUCCCUUUAAGAAAUUGACCGCAAAGAGAGGAGUUGGACGUUGGACCUUCCCUUCUUCUCAAGCAAAUAUCCGAACACCACAUCUUUCAUAAGCCGGCCUAGCCGGCUAUGCUUUCUCCAAUUCUCUCCUUUCCUUCAUUUCUUUUUUUGACAUAAUUAUUCUUUU